UACGAAGGGGGCUAGCGUUGCUCGGAAUCACUGGGCGUAAAGCGCACGUAGGCGGCUUUCUAAGUCAGGGGUGAAAUCCUGGAGCUCAACUCCAGAACUGCCUUUGAUACUGGAGAGCUUGAGUCCGGGAGAGGUGAGUGGAACUCCGAGUGUAGAGGUGAAAUUCGUAGAUAUUCGCAAGAACACCAGUGGCGAAGGCGGCUCACUGGCCCGGAACUGACGCUGAGACGCGAAAGCGUGGGGAGCAAACAGG
rnacentral:rRNA from 1 species